rnacentral:rRNA from 1 species
AGCGAACGCUGGCGGCAGGCCUAACACAUGCAAGUCGAACGAACCUUUCGGGGUUAGUGGCGGACGGGUGAGUAACACGUGGUAACGUGCCUUUAGGUUCGGAAUAACUCAGGGAAACUUGUGCUAAUACCGAAUGUGCCCUUCGGGGGAAAGAUUAAUCGCCUUUAGAGCGGCCCGCGUCUGAUUAGCUAGUUGGUUGAGGUAAUGGCUCACCAAGGCGACGAUCAGUAGCUGGUCUGAGAGGAUGAUCAGCCACAUUGGGACUGAGACACGGACCAAACUCCUACGGGAGGCAGCAGUGGGGAAUCUUGCGCAAUGGGCGAAAGCCUGACGCAGCCAUGCCGCGUGAAUGAUGAAGGUCUUAGGAUUGUAAAAUUCUUUCACCGGGGACGAUAAUGACGGUACCCGGAGAAGAAGCCCCGGCUAACUUCGUG